UGAAUACGAGAUGCUACGGCGUCGAAGCAGUCUAUGUCAUACUUCCAAGAAAAGCUUGCACUGUCAUAAACAAAUAAUGCCUGUACCAUAACCGACACAGGUGGGUAGGUAGAGUAUACUAAGGGGCGCGAGAUAACUCUCUCUAAGGAACUCGGCAAAAUGACUCCGUAACUUCGGGAGAAGGAGUGCCUUAUUUAUAAGGUUGCAAUAACAAGAUCCAAGCAACUGUUUACCAAAAACACAGGUCUCCGCUAAGUCGUAAGACGAUGUAUGGGGGCUGACGCCUGCCCAGUGCCAGAAGGUUAAAGAAGUUGGUUAGCAUCCGCGAAGCUGAUAACUGAAGCCCUGGUGAACGGCGGCCGUAACUAUAACGGUCCUAAGGUAGCGAAAUUCCUUGUCGGGUAAGUUCCGACCCGCACGAAAGGCGUAAUGAUUUGGAUACUGUCUCGGAGAGGGGCUCGGUGAAAUAGACUUGUCUGUGAAGAUGCGGACUACCUGCACCAGGACAGAAAGACCCUAUGAAGCUUUACUGUAACCUGAAAUUGAAAUUGGACUUUACUUGCGCAGUAUAGGUGGGAGGCGUUGAGAAUAUUCUUGCGGGAUUAUUGGAGCCAUCAGUGAGAUACCACUCUUGUAAUGUUAGAUUUCUAACUUUGUAUCAUUAUCUGGUCAAAGAACAGUUUCAGGCGGGCAGUUUGACUGGGGCGGUCGCCUCCUAAACGGUAACGGAGGCGCACAAAGGUUUCCUCUGAACGGGUAGAAAUCGUAUCUAGAGUGUAAAGGCAUAAGGAAGCUUGACUGUGAGACCUACAAGUCGAGCAGGGACGAAAGUCGGUCUUAGUGAUCUGACGGUGCUGAGUGGAAAGGCCGUCACUCAACGGAUAAAAGUUACUCUAGGAUAACAGGCUGAUCUCCCCCAAGAGUUCACAUCGACGGGGAGGUUUGGCACCUCGAUGUCGGCUCAUCGCAUCCUGGGGCGGUAGUACGUCCCAAGGGUUGGGCUGUUCGCCCAUGAAAGCGGUACGCGAGCUGGGUUCAGAACGUCGUGAGACAGUUCGGUCCAUAUCCGGUGUAGGCGUUAGAAUAUUGAGAGGAGCCUUCUUUAGUACGAGAGGACCGAGAAGGACAUACCUCUGGUGUAGCAGUUAUCGUGCCAACGGUAAACGCUGGGUAGCUAUGUGUGGAGUGGAUAACCGCUGAAAGCAUCUAAGUGGGAAGCCCACCUCAAGACGAGUAUUCUGGUGUAAGGUCACGGGAAGACGACCCGUAAAUAGGCACGAGGUGGAA
rnacentral:rRNA from 1 species